rnacentral:rRNA from 1 species
ACCGGCGCACGGGUGCGUAACGCGUAUGCAAUCUACCUUUUACAGAGGGAUAGCCCAGAGAAAUUUGGAUUAAUACCUCAUAGUAUAGUGAUACCGCAUGGUACUACUAUUAAAGUCACAACGGUAAAAGAUGAGCAUGCGUCCCAUUAGCUAGUUGGUAAGGUAACGGCUUACCAAGGCAACGAUGGGUAGGGGUCCUGAGAGGGAGAUCCCCCACACUGGUACUGAGACACGGACCAGACUCCUACGGGAGGCAGCAGUGAGGAAUAUUGGUCAAUGGGCGCAAGCCUGAACCAGCCAUGCCGCGUGCAGGAUGACGGUCCUAUGGAUUGUAAACUGCUUUUGUACAGGAAGAAACAGUUCUACGUGUAGAACCUUGACGGUACUGUAAGAAUAAGGAUCGGCUAACUCCGUGCCAGCAGCCGCGGUAAUACGGAGGAUCCAAGCGUUAUCCGGAAUCAUUGGGUUUAAAGGGUCCGUAGGCGGUUUUGUAAGUCAGUGGUGAAAGCCCAUCGCUCAACGGUGGAACGGCCAUUGAUACUGCAAGACUUGAAUUAUUGGGAAGUAACUAGAAUAUGUAGUGUAGCGGUGAAAUGCUUAGAGAUUACAUGGAAUACCAAUUGCGAAGGCAGGUUACUACCAAUAUAUUGACGCUGAUGGACGAAAGCGUGNGGAGCGAACAGGAUUAGAUACCCUGGUAGUCCACGCCGUAAACGAUGGAUACUAGCUGUUCGGAGCAAUCUGAGUGGCUAAGCGAAAGUGAUAAGUAUCCCACCCUGGGAGUACGUUCGCAAGAA